rnacentral:rRNA from 1 species
CGGACGGGUGAGUAAUGUCUUGGGAAACUGCCUGAUGGAGGGGGAUAACUACUGGAAACGGUAGCUAAUACCGCAUAACGUCGCAAGACCAAAGAGGGGGACCCUCGGGCCUCUUGCCAUCGGAUGUGCCCAGAUGGGAUUAGCUUGUUGGUGGGGUAACGGCUCACCAAGGCGACGAUCCCUAGCUGGUCUGGGAGGAUGACCAGCCACACUGGAACUGAGACACGGUCCAG